CCUACGGGAGGCAGCAGGGAGGAAUAUUGGUCAAUGGACGCAAGUCUGAACCAGCCAUGCCGCGUGCAGGAAGAAGGCUCUAUGAGUGGUAAACUGCUGUUGUACGAGGGUAAACGCAGAUACGCGUAUCUGUCUGAAAGUAUCGUACGAAUAAGGAUCGGCUAACUCCGUGCCAGCAGCCGCGGUAAUACGGAGGAUUCAAGCGUUAUCCGGAUUUAUUGGGUUUAAAGGGUGCGUAGGCGGGCGGAUAAGUUAGAGGUGAAAUCCCGAGGCUCAACUUCGGAAUUGCCUCUGUUACUGUUCGGCUAGAGCGUAGUUGCGGUAGGCGGAAUGUAUGGUGUAGCGGUGAAAUGCUUAGAGAUCAUCCAGAACACCGAUUGCGAAGGCAGCUUACCAAGCUACUUCUGACGUUGAGGCACGAAAGCGUGGGGAGCAAACAGGAUUAGAUACCCUGGUAGUC
rnacentral:rRNA from 1 species